rnacentral:rRNA from 1 species
AUUGAACGCUGGCGGCAGGCCUAACACAUGCAAGUCGAGCGGUAGCACAGGAGAGCUUGCUCUCUGGGUGACGAGCGGCGGACGGGUGAGUAAUGUCUGGGAAACUGCCUGAUGGAGGGGGAUAACUACUGGAGACGGUAGCUAAUACCGCAUAAUGUCGCAAGACCAAAGAGGGGGACCUUCGGGCCUCUUGCCAUCAGAUGUGCCCAGAUGGGAUUAGCUAGUAGGUGGGGUAACGGCUCACCUAGGCGACGAUCCCUAGCUGGUCUGAGAGGAUGACCAGCCACACUGGAACUGGGCCACGGUCCAGACUCCUACAGGAGGCAGCAGUGGGGAAUAUUGCACAAUGGGCGCAAGCCUGAUGCAGCCAUGCCGCGUGUAUGAAGAAGGCCUUCGGGUUGUAAAGUACUUUCAGCGAGGAGGAAGGCAUUGUGGUUAAUAACCACAGUGAUUGACGUUACUCGCAGAAGAAGCACCGGCUAACUCCGUGCCAGCCGCCGCCGUAA